rnacentral:rRNA from 1 species
UACGUAGGGGGCAAGCGUUGUCCGGAUUUAUUGGGCGUAAAGAGCGUGUAGGCGGCCAUACAGGUCAGCUGUGAAAACUCGAGGCUCAACCUCGAGACGUCGGUUGAAACCGUAUGGCUAGAGUCCGGAAGAGGAGAGUGGAAUUCCCGGUGUAGCGGUGAAAUGCGCAGAUAUCGGGAAGAACACCCGUGGCGAAGGCGGCUCUCUGGGACGGUACUGACGCUGAGACGCGAAAGCGUGGGUAGCAAACAGG